CCUUUUGACUAUUUUGCAAUUUAGUCCUUUUUACACAAAAUGACAAAUUUAUGCAAUUUACCCUUAACCCAUGUAUAGCCGAAUUUCACAUAACUAUAUAGCAGCCCAUAUUUUCAUUUUAUUCACAUUUUUAACCAAAACAUUUCUAUCUUUCACAAUUUGAUCCCUAAUUCUCAUUUUUGUCAAAAGUCACUUUAUAAAACUUGUAUAUCUAUUGACAACCAUCAAUAAUCUAACAAGAAACUUCAAAAUAUCCAAGUAUUCAACAAUGGCAUAUCUCAAAAUCUAUAACAAACUAAAAAAUUAAAGCACGGGCUAGCUAG
rnacentral:lncRNA from 1 species